CAUACUGCCGACUAUACAGACUAUGCUUCGGUCACGCUUUUAACGUUGUCAGAUUUCACCAAAUGAAACUCUUUUUUCCCGUGUGAAAAAAUAGGUUUUUUUAUCAACCACGCUGGGUUGACGUACAAUGAUGUCAAGCAGAUAAGCAACGUCUUCCGCCCCAAGACGUGAUUUUUCAGUGACGUCAGACUCAGCUGGCAGGAGGUUUGCUUAAUGAACAACUGGAAUUUUUCGGAGGGAGGAUCUUGUUUAUUUGAGAAAUUAAUAGCGCGGCGAAAAACACACAAAUUUCGAAAUUAACAGGUGCUGAUCAAAGCCGGGCAGGGUAUAAAAGCUCCGGACCCGGUUGCAAAAAUCAACUCAGCUCUCCCUUUGCUCCAGCAUUGGGUCCUCUUCAGCUAAGGAUGGCGUCGUUGAAGCUCAUAGUUUGCUGCGUUGCCCUUGUGGUUGCCGCCGUGGUGGACGCUCACCCGAAGUGCAAGAUCGGAUGCGACGAGUACAAGCGCGAGAUCAAGCGUAUCGCCCAGUGGCUUCGCCCGCGCCUUGUCAACAUGAUCGACCGAUUCAAGCGCACCUGUUGCGAAAUCAACGGAAUCCUCGACAACCUUUACUCCAGCAACACCAACCAGGCUUGCACCCGCUCUUACAAGUUCACCGAGGCCGAGUUCUCUUUCCAGAUCUCUGGCUCCGCCAAAGUCUGUUAAAUGGCCUUAUCGUCCCCGUCAGUGCCCGUAAUUAAAUAAAAAAGACGCAAAAUACUCGGAAUUUUUCAUGCUCUAACGACUCAUUCAAAAUACUCACUACAUAUUUACAUAGAUUUGCAAAAAUGAAAAAAAAGGAAAAAAAUCCCUG
rnacentral:lncRNA from 1 species